UACGAAGGGGACUAGCGUUGUUCGGAAUUACUGGGCGUAAAGCGCACGUAGGCGGCUUUCUAAGUCAGGGGUGAAAUCCUGGAGCUCAACUCCAGAACUGCCUUUGAUACUGGAGUGCUUGAGUCCGGGAGAGGUGAGUGGAACUCCGAGUGUAGAGGUGAAAUUCGUAGAUAUUCGGAAGAACACCAGUGGCGAAGGCGGCUCACUGGCCCGGUACUGACGCUGAGGUGCGAAAGCGUGGGGAGCAAACAGGGU
rnacentral:rRNA from 1 species